rnacentral:rRNA from 1 species
UGGCCUCGAAUCAGGUAGGGAUACCCGCUGAACUUAAGCAUAUCAAUAAGCGGAGGAAAAGAAACCAACAGGGAUUGCCUUAGUAACUGCGAGUGAAGCGGCAAGAGCUCAAAUUUGAAAUCUGGCGCCUUUGGCGUCCGAGUUGUAAUUUGGAGAGGCAUCUUCGGGUGCGGCGCCGGCCUAAGUUCCUUGGAACAGGACGUCAUAGAGGGUGAGAAUCCCGUUCUCGGCUGGCUGUCCGCGUCCAUGUGAAGUGUCUUCGACGAGUCGAGUUGUUUGGGAAUGCAGCUCAAAAUGGGUGGUAAACUCCAUCUAAAGCUAAAUACUGGCGAGAGACCGAUAGCGCACAAGUAGAGUGAUCGAAAGAUGAAAAGCACUUUGAAAAGAGAGUUAAAAAGUACGUGAAAUUGUUGAAAGGGAAGCGCUUGAGACCAGACUCGGCGGGAGGUAUUCAUCGUCCCUUCUGGGGCGUGCACUUGCCUCUCGUCGGGCCAGCAUCGGUUGCGGCGGCGGGAUAAAGACCCGGGGAACGUGGCUGCUCUCGGGCAGUGUUAUAGCCCCGGGUGUCAUGCCGCCUGCUGCGACCGAGGACCGCGCU